CUGGAGUCCUCUACAUGUAGCUGUUCCUUUGGAUCCUGUCUGCUGAGAGACUUUAUUAAAAUUACACCAGGGAGGGAAGGCCUGGCUAAGAGUUCCUACAAGAAACAAUCAUUUAACAAGGAAUUCGGCUUUUAAAAAUAUGAAAUGGCUUAAAAAACUGCCGUGGACGUUUCUUCAGUGCCAAAUGCUUAUGGGGAUAGUCACUCUUGCUAAUAUCAAGAACUUAAAACCUACGUCUCUACUCUCCUCUGUCCGUGUGGGCAUGUGCACAUACCAUCAGGAGGCUCUGCUUAUUUACUUGGGAAGCCAAGAAGCCACUUGCAUUUCACAGAGCUGAUACUUCUGUCUCACUCAUGGAUGGACCAACAAGGAGGUGCUCUGGUUACUAAAUAUGAGGUCUUGCACAGGUUGCUAAUGAGCUUUAGAGAACACAGCCCUGAUGCCACCUGGAGGAAAGGAAGGUGCUUAUGUAGCACAUGCUGUGACACUCUCUCUGGUGGUGGCUUUCACACUGGUGUGGCAGUUUCCUAGGCAGUUCUGAAAUCUGCUGAUGAGCUUUGGCUCUAGCUGAAUGAUUCUUCAUGUGGCCUGAUUUAAGAAGAAAAAUAAAAUAAAAGAUGAAAAGGGUGUCAUUUUUGGCAAGCUGCUAUGUGCUCAUCUGUGUCAGACUUCAACCAGUCCAAGACGUAUUUUUUUUUGUGGUGGGGGGAGGAGGCAGCUCUCAACAAUAACAAUAGGGUAUGCAUCUUUAUUGAACCAUGGAGUUCAAGAAAUAAGCUCCUGGAUUUCUAGGCUUGGCUGGUUUUGUGAGAUUUGCAGGAUAGUCACUGAAGAGAAAGCUCCCCUUCCAAAUAGAUGAGAAAGUUAAAUCACAAUCUCUUGUCAUACAACCCAAUUAGACUAGAAAUCUGUGUAAUAGCUCUCAGUGGUGUGGAAUGUUUGGCACACAUAAAGACAAUCUUACAAAAAAAAAAAAAAAAUGAAGGAUGGCAUGUCCCUUGCAAGUUAAUCUAAUUUCUCCAGGACUCUCCUUUUCAAAAUUAUAUUGCAGAUUGACCCAAGAUCUCACUAUCAAUUGUCAUUCUGGGGUGCACCUUCUUAAGUGUUUAGAGAGGCCUGAAGGUUUAUACUCCAUAUUCUCCUAUCACUAAGGAAGAAAUGGAAAGAACAUGAUAUUAAAAGAGAGAAAAUCAGUAUUCAGGCCUCAAUUGUGACACUGCUAUUUAUGGAACUUUGGCCAAGCCACUUAAGUUCUCUGAGACUCAGGUUACUUUUGAUCAAAUGGAACACACAAGGGAAAACCGUCUAUCUGCCAGAUUGAAAGCGUUGGUUCGCAAGCUUGGGGGCUUCCCAGCAAAUUCUCAAAGUGGCUCGUGAACAUGGAGACCAAGGAGAGACCACAGAGGCAGACACUCCAGACUGGCAGGUGACAGGUUUAAUAAGCCAGGGAACUUACAUACAAGGCUGGUCCUGGGCCACCACGCGACAAGGAGAUCUCCGCACCAGCAUCUCAAAAGUUUAUAUAGAGGCUUUACCUGGGUUCAUCACAUAUUCCCUCCAGUCUCAACGAUGCAUUGCUCUCUCAAAGCCCUUGAAGAGGCACCGACUGUGGGAACCGUGGGCAGCAUGUACCUUUCAAGGACAGAGGAGGGGAAGAGGAGCCUCCAACUGCCCAGGUGUGGCUCAUGGGUCAACCCACAGUCAAGUCCUCUUGAUGACCUCCUCUGACAUUCUUUUUCUCCUGACUGGCUCUUAAAAUAUCUUAUGCCUUUUUCUUUUAUAAGGUGUAGUGAGGAGUCAGUAAGACGUUUUAUUAGCUGGGAGAUGCUAGUCUGGUGGCUGUCUGGCUGCACAGGAGGCAGGUACCGCAGCGACAGUCUAACAGCGUAGAAAACAUAGAUUAAGAUAAUGACUUUUAAGAUAAGUAACGAUUUUUUUUUUUCAGAGAACCCCAUGCUUUAAAUCAUUGACUUAAGUCCCUAGGCUGGGGUUCAGAUCACUCAGUGUUCUCUGAUAUUUUUAUAUGAUUCAAUAAAGAUGCUACGUGAGCAGACUCAUCAGGUAUGAACACACACGUUUUGUUUGGAGAAGGGCACACGUGCCUCCUUGUGAAGCAAUGAUGAUGCUCCAGGUCAUCCCAUUUGGGAGGACAGCUUUUCUCACUGGAUGCAUUUCAGGGUUUGAUAAAGACAGGUUUCGCUGACCAUCAUUUAAGGCUUGCUGGGCGAAUUUAGUAGGGGCUUCUAUGUUUGCUACGCUGUCCUACAGGCCCAUGGUGGGGACAAAGCCAGUGGCUAAGUGAUUGCUCCAAUGGAAAACAAAAUGUGCCUUGAGAGAAGGGUUGGCAGGUUUUGUUAAUGUGGGGUGGAUUCCCCCUGUGUCCAGGGAAAACCCAGAGCGCAGGGACCCAACCACUCAGGAGGAAGCCGUGGCCAAAGAUUUGUGCCUCAUAACCACUGGGUCCCAUUUGGGGUUACCCAAUAAAUACCUGAGAGGCCAUACCAGUCAGUGCCAAACCAGCCGCCAUCCUUUGAUUUGACAGAAUGACUAUAUAGUCCUGGGUUAUCUCUCCUGUAUCCCUGAUAUAUUUGGGUUGUUCUGUUUAGCGUGAUUUUUCUGUUCCCAGCAUAAGAGCUUCUUGGUGCUCAAACAUCCAGAACCCAGGGUGGGCCACAUGAGCCCAUCCCAACCCAAACACAGUCACCCAUGGCUCUGAUGAUGGUAUUUCCUGGAUCCUUUUGGUCAGCAGCUUGAUGGGCUACCUGCACAGUUUGAUUAACCAAAAAAGAAUACUGAUGCCCAAUAUUAUUGAUAGUGUGUGCCACAGGCAAGGGUUUUUGGAUUAGUAUUGUUAAGAUCAGACAAAUUAAGAAUACUAGUCUUUGUUUUUCCUUAAUGUACUGAUUUAGGGAUUUUCAAUCCUCUCCAUGGAGUGGUGAUACCCACCAUGGCAAUACCUACCAUGCUAGACAGGGGCAGCUGCUCACAUACCCAACCGCUGGAUUGGUUGGAUGCCUGGGUGGCUCAGCGGUUGAGCAUCUGCUUUCAGCCCAGGGCAUGA